UACGAAGGGGGCUAGCGUUGCUCGGAAUCACUGGGCGUAAAGCGCACGUAGGCGGUCUUUUAAGUCAGGGGUGAAAUCCUGGAGCUCAACUCCAGAACUGCCUUUGAUACUGAGGAUCUUGAGUAUGGGAGAGGUGAGUGGAACUGCGAGUGUAGAGGUGAAAUUCGUAGAUAUUCGCAAGAACACCGGUGGCGAAGGCGGCCUGCUGGGUUCUGGCUGACACUGAGGCGCGACAGCGUGGGGAGCAAACAGGG
rnacentral:rRNA from 1 species